rnacentral:lncRNA from 1 species
UCAAACUCCUGACCUCAAGUGAUCCACCCGCUUUGGCCUCCCAAAGUGCCGGGAUUACAAUCACGAGCCACAGUGCCCGGCUCUACUUACUUUAAAAUUUGUGUGAUACCUGGUAUCUUCUAAUUUAUGGAGCUACUAUGGAUCUGAUUCUGUUGUAUUAUUUCUGUUAUUCUUUUGUUCAUACUGUCUAUCACAUAUUUGUUUAUCUUCUGUAGUGUGUCAGGCGUUGUUUUUGCAGAAUUAUUUUGGGGAAUAAUUUGAGUUCAAAAAUGGUAUCACCCAACAGUAUUUGUUUCUCUCUUUUUUUUUUUUUUUUGGAGAUGGAGCUUUGUUCUUGUAGCCCAGGCUGGAGUGCAGUGGCGUAAUCUCAGCUCACUGCAACCUCAGCCUCCCGAGCAGGUGGGAUUACAGAGGCGUGCCACCACACCCAGCUAAUUUUUCUGUAUUUUUAGUUGAGACAGGGUUUCACCAUGUUGGCCAGGCUGGUCUUGAACUCCUGACCUCAGGUGAUCCACCCACCUUGGCCUCCCAAAGUGCUGGGAUUGCAGGCGUGAGCCACUAUGUCCGGUCAAGCCCUCGUGUUCUGAACCUUGUCAAGGCUCUGCCUGAAUGAGUUUUCAUCUGAUUGUGGGGACCAAGUCCCUGAGUAGAGGGCCAAGAGCUAGGGACAGGGGGAAGAGACUGGCCCAGGUGGUAGGGAGGAAAGAACUCCCAGAGUUUCCUUUAGCCAGGAAACCUGCUCUACUGACCCCGUGACUUGGACAGUCAGACAUCACCCUGAGAGUGACAAGUGUAAAAUGACUCCCUUCCUCCCCCGCCCUCCGGAAGUAUAUUUAGAUACUUGAAAGCAGUCCUUUUCUAAAAUGGCCUUACCUAUGUGGCCUGAACGAUUAAAAGAAAGAACUCAGAGUUACAAGGGAAAAAGAAAAAGAGUUACAAGGGAAUUGUAGUCUUUUUCUGAAUAGAAUAUUAGUACUGUGGUAUUGCAUUUCAUGGGAAUGGAAAUGUAUUGGUAAAGCUACCUGAUGGAAGCUUUCUCUUGGUAACAAAAAUGGAGGGUGUAUUAUGUGCAGUUAUUUAAAUAUAUGUAUUCCAUUGUUGCGUGGUUUUUUUCCCCCCUCAAGACAGAGAUUUGCUCUUGUUGCCCAGGGUGGAGUACAAUGGUGUGACCUUGGCUCACUGCAACCUCUGCCUCCUGGGUUCAGGUGAUUCUCCUGCCUCAGCCUUCCGAGUAGCUGGGAUUACAGGUGUGCGCCACCACACCCGGCUAAUUUUUGCUUUUUUUUUUUUUGAGACAGAAUCUCGCUCUGUUGCUCAGGCUGGAGUGGAGUGCAGUGGCACAAUCUCAGCUCACUGCAGCCUCUGCCUCCCGGGUUCAAGAGAUUCUCCUGACUCAACCUCCUGAGUAGCUGGGAUUACAGGUGCCUGCCACUAUGCCUAGCUAAUUUUUGUAUUUUUAGUAGAGACGGGGUUUUGCCAUGUUGGCCAGGGUGGUCUCGAACUCCUGACCUCAAGUGAUCCACCCGCAUCGGCCCCCCAAAGUGCUGGGAUUAUAGGCGUGAACCACCGCGCCUGUCCCAUUGUUGUGUAAUUUUAAUAAUUAGUUUUUUAAGUACUUGAUUUUAUGGGCACAUUUUUGUGGGAUGAUUGGAGUUAAUCAAAUAAAGCUUGUCAUGUGUGUAGUUUGGUAAGAUAACUUCUUUAAAUUCAUGUUUUCUCUGCCUUGAGGUAGUGAGGGAAAGAUCUUAAUCAGUAUUUUGGUAAUUAACUGAUUGAAUUCAAGCAAAUGAGACAUCAUGAACUUCAGUGGUUAUUGAUAUUUCAGGGUAUAUACCUGAAAUGCCUAGAGGAUACAGAUUUCUCAUUUCAUUCUUUGGUCUUUCAUUUCUCUAUAUACAGAAAUGAAAUGACACUUCUGGGAGGCAGUAGAAGCAGGAAGUCAAUGAAUUGAGUAGAGGGUCCCAUUCCCUCAGGCUGUCAUUGAUCAGUGACAAUUUAUAAAAACAAACUGCAAAGUCUGUGGCAAGUGGCUGCCUGCUUCCUAGAAGGAGCCCAUGAAGGUUAAACUCUGUGGUCGGUAUUUGCAAGCGCCGGGCGUGGUGGCUCACGCCUGUAAUCCUAGCACCUUGGGAGGCCAAGGCAGGCGGAUCACCCGAGGUCAGGAGUUUGAGGAUUUGCAAGCAAAAGGUCCUCUCCUGAGUCUUUCCCAGAUACCCAGCAGUGCAGAGGCUAGCUGUGGAAGGUUGCAGUGGGACAGGAAUGUAUUGUAUGCCUUGCCUUACUUGUCACCAUUGAGAUUUCCAGAGAAAUGGGCAUAACGUCUCUUAACAACAACAGCAGAAAGCAAAAUACAUUAACUUAAGGUUGACAACAAAAGAUUAUCAAGUACCAUGUUUUCCAACCAACCAGUUAUUCGUGGUAAUAAUAAAAUAAAGGUGGGAAAAUGUUAUAAUUUUUAAGGAAACUGUGUACUUUAAAAAUCUUCUUUAUGAAUAUCCAAUGUUACUGUAAUCCUGCUCCAUUAAAUGCAGCAUUGUUGUCAGGUGCUGCCUCUUGCUUGGGAACAGCAUUGGGCUUUUAAAUGUCUGCAGAAUCUCUGCGUUCGAAGGGAAUUGAGAAUGAACUUCCUGGUACUGUAAUGAAAAUAAGGUCUGCUCAACACAGUAAACGUUUCCUCUCUUCUUUAAAACUGCGCAGUCAUUUGGCCUUUGUGUUUAGGAAGGGCAGAUUGAUAGAGCACAAAGUCCAACCCCUUCAUCUAGCAGAAGCUGCAAACCCAGACAGAGGAACGAGGGCUUUACCUGAGUCUUGUCUGCUGCUGGGGCUGGCUUCGGGUUGCAUCCAGUUCUUUGGAUUCUGAGGAUCCAAAGCACCCAGGUCUCCUCCAGGUCCUCAACCUCUGGGAGCUGCCCCAGGCAGAACUUGGCAGGCAGGCAUAACAGGUGGGGUGGGAGGGGGAACCUCAAGGCAAGAAGGUGUCAUGAGACCCCUGGGCCGGCAGAGUUCCUUAGGAGGGUGGCAUGGACUUUGCAUUUUGCCAGUUCUCUGAGCUCCUACUCCGGGGUGG